UGAGGAAUAUUGGACAAUGGGCGCAAGCCUGAUCCAGCCAUGCCGCGUGCAGGAAGAAGCAUCUAUGGUGUGUAAACUGCUUUUGUACGGGAAGAAACACUCCUUCGUGAAGGAGCUUGACGGUACCGUAAGAAUAAGGAUCGGCUAACUCCGUGCCAGCAGCCGCGGUAAUACGGAGGAUCCAAGCGUUAUCCGGAAUCAUUGGGUUUAAAGGGUCCGUAGGCGGUUUAGUAAGUCAGUGGUGAAAGCCCAUCGCUCAACGAUGGAACGGCCAUUGACACUGCUAGACUUGAAUUAUUAGGAAGUAACUAGAAUAUGUUGUGUAGCGGUGAAAUGCUGAGAUAUGACAUGGAAUACCAAGUGCGAAGGCAGGUUACUACUAAUGGAUUGACGGUGAUGGACGAAAGCGUGGGGAGCGAAC
rnacentral:rRNA from 1 species